rnacentral:rRNA from 1 species
GAAACGACUGCUAAGACUGGAUAGGAAGUUUUAGGCAUCUUGAACUUUUAAAAGACCCGCAAGGGUAUGCUGAGAGAUGGGCUUGCGGCACAUUAGUUAGUUGGUAAGGUAACGGCUUACCAAGACCAUGAUGUGUAGCUGGACUGAGAGGUUGAACGGCCACAUUGGGACUGAGAUACGGCCCAAACUCCUACGGGAGGCAGCAGUAAGGAAUUUUCGGCAAUGGAGGAAACUCUGACCGAGCAACGCCGCGUGAACGAUGAAGUAUUUAGGUAUGUAAAGUUCUUUUAUUAAAGAAGAAAAAAUGAUGGAAAAAUCAUUCUGACGGUAUUUAAUGAAUAAGCCCCGGCUAACUAUGUGCCAGCAGCUGCGGUAAUACAUGGGGGGCAAGCGUUAUCCGGAUUUAUUGGGCGUAAAGGGUGCGUAGGCGGUUUAAUAAGUCUAUGGUCUAAGUUCAACGCUUAACGUUGUGAUGCUAUAGAAACUGUUUGACUAGAGUUGGAUAGAGGCAAGUGGAAUUCCAUGUGUAGCGGUAAAAUGCGUAAAGAUAUGGAGGAACACCAGUAGCGAAGGCGGCUUGCUGGGUCUUAACUGACGCUGAGGCACGAAAGCGUGGGGAGCAAACAGGAUUAGAUACCCUGGUAGUCCACGCCGUAAACGAUGAGUACUAAGUGUUGGGUUAAACCAGUGCUGAAGUUAACGCAUUAAGUACUCCGCCUGAGUAGUACGUACGCAAGUAUGAAACUUAAAGGAAUUGACGGGACUCCGCACAAGCGGUGGAUCAUGUUGUUUAAUUUCGAAGAUACACGAAAAACCUUACCAGGUCUUUGACAUACUCUGCAAAGCUAUAGAAAUAUAGUGGAGGUUAUCAGGGAUACAGGUGGUGCAUGGUUGUCGUCAGCUCGUGUCGUGAGAUGUUGGGUUAAGUCCCGCAACGAGCGCAACCCUUAUCGCUAGUUACCAUCAUUUAGUUGGGCACUUUAGUGAGACUGCCAAUGAUAAAUUGGAGGAAGGUGGGGAUUACGUCAAAUCAUCAUGCCCCUUAUGACCUGGGCUACAAACGUGAUACAAUGGCUGUUACAAAGAGUAGCUGAAGCGUGAGUUUUUAGCAAAUCUCAAAAAAACAGUCUCAGUUCGGAUUGAAGUCUGCAACUCGACUUCAUGAAGUCGGAAUCGCUAGUAAUCGCGAAUCAGCAUGUCGUGGUGAAUACGUUCUCGGGGUUUGUACACACCGCC